rnacentral:rRNA from 1 species
UGGGGGAUAUUGCACAAUGGGCGAAAGCCUGAUGCAGCGACGCCGCGUGGGGGAUGAAGGCCUUCGGGUUGUAAACUUCUUUUGCUCUGAACAAGGCGCACCAUGGGGUGUGUUGAGUGUAGGGGUUGAUUAGCGCCGGCUAACUACGUGCCUGCAGCCGCGGUAAUACGUAGGGCGCGAGCGUUGUCCGUAAUUAUUUGGCGUAAAGGGUUUGUAGGUGGCUGGUUGCGUCUGUCGUGAAAGCUCAUGGCUUAACUGUGGAUUUGCCGUUGGUACGGGGUAGCUUGAGUGCAGUAGGGGAGGCUGGAAUUGCUGGUGUAACGGUGGAAUGCGCAGAUAACAGGGGGAAUACCGGUGGCGAAGGCGGGUCUCUGGGCUGUUACUGACACUGAGGAGCGAAAGCAUGGGGAGCUAACAGG